rnacentral:rRNA from 1 species
ACGUAGGGGGCAAGCGUUAUCCGGAAUUAUUGGGCGUAAAGAGUGCGUAGGUGGUUUUUUAAGCGUGAGGUGAAAGGCAAUAGCUUAACUAUUGUAAGCCUUGCGAACUGGAAGACUUGAGUGCAGGAGAGGAAAGUGGAAUUCCUAGUGUAGCGGUGAAAUGAGUAGAUAUGAGGAGGAACAACAGUGGCGAAGGAGACUAACGGGAAUGUAACUGACGCUGAGGCAAGAAAGCGUGGGGAGCACAAAG